UGAUGUUGAUGCAUCCGUGCAGGUUAGAGACCUGGUGACAAUGGGCUUUGCCUUGAAAAUCAUCGUCUACUACUACCCCUUCAGCGGUAUUGUUUUAGAAUGCACAAGCGCAGCCACUACCUAUUAUUCCUUGGCUAUUAUAGUACAACCCUGAGUGGGACUCGGCUCUUCCAGUGCCAGGGCCCCAUCCCGUGAAAGUGGGCAAAGACCUGCACGUGAGCAUGGAUCCGCAGCUGGAAGAGUCAGGGCCGGGUCGCAAAGUGGGAACCACCGAACAGCGCGUGGCAUUUCAGCAGCAGCAGCAGCAACUGUCGGCGCCCAGGCCGACCGCUACCAAGGCUCCCAAGAACCCAAGCCUCGCACUGGAGAACAGGCUUGUGGCUGGAGUUAGAGCACUGCACGGGCUGAUUUGGCCUGCCCGCCCGAGCCCGACCAAAAGUUUUAUGGCGAGACCCGGGCCCGGCCCGGGAACGGCCAUAAUCUACGUUACCCGCCUGACCUUGCCCGCCACCCAUUUACCUUAGGCCCGAGCCCGGCCCGGCCUGGACCGCCUCCUGAACCUAACCCGGCCCAAGACUGAAAAAGACCACCGAACGGCA